AAAAGGUUAGUUAAAGAUAUAACAUUAGAAUGUCAAACUAAAAUUAUUGAUAAUCAAUACCUUUUA
rnacentral:tRNA from 1 species